GUCCAAGGAGUUUCAGGAGGAGGAGCCUAAAGUGCGGUGACACAACAGUCAAGAGCACUACUGAGACAGCGAAGGAACCGGUGAAUUCCUCAUCCUCCAGCAAACCACCAGUUAUGGUCUAUACAAACCCUCUGACAGAUUGUUUCACUGAGUUAACUUGCACAUGUCCAUAUAACCACAGUGCUUGGAGUGGAAAACAAUUGUAUUCAAGAGCCUGCUAGGCACUCUGGGUUGUCACAGCAGGCAGAGUGACCUCCUGAUCUCCAUUGUCGAAGGGUUUCGGGAAAACAAUGAAACAAUGCCCACAAAGAGAGAGUGUUAUUGCCAGUGUGCCGGGACGCCUUCAUCACCCUCAGAUGCACAUGCUGUCCCAGGCAAAACAUUGCACAAACAGAGACCUUUUUCCAAAUCAUCCAGGAAGGGAUGGCACAAGCCUUUGGCUUUGAGAAAAGACUAUUAAGCAGUAAAAACCAUAAUUCAAAAGGUACAGUUUUCAUAGACAUCAGAGGGGAACAUGGAGCCCUGGAAUGGAUACUCUGGGAUCACACAGACCUGGGCUGGACCUGAGGCUCAAUCCUGUGUUUUGUGUGUUUGACUAUGUUACUUUAACCAAAAGUAACAAUAGGAUUCAAUUAAAUGAAACCACAAACACAAUUUAGCACCUAUCAUAGAACCUGGUCUAGUAAAUGUGGCUGGCAAACCAAUAUGAUGGUUAUUCUCUUUUCAAUAAGUCAAAGUCCUGGAUCCAAAGGACUGGAUCAGUCAACACUUGUGUGUCUGCUGUGUUGUUGGAAAUGUGCUGAGGUUGAUGAGUUCCUCCCAGAACAUCCCUGACCUUCUUAAAAAUCUCUCCCUUGCAAGGCAUCACAGUGACAAAAUGACAAAAUGUCACUGUGUUAAAUACCAGGGAUAAAUACACUGUGACUUUACUGCUAGUGAAGCACCGGUUUGAUCACAGUACUGUAGGAUACAUAUGGCUCAUGUGUGUUUCUGCUUUCUCUCUCAGGUCCAGGAGGUAGUUUACCAGGUCCUUAGUGAUCGUCAGAAUAAAAUGCCUAUAUCAUUUAGAAAUUCUAGGAAGCGGAGUCACUAUUUAAAUAACUUAUUACCAUCUAUGUAGGAAGCUGAUAUUUUUAUACUUCCUAAAACCACAUAAUAGUACCUUCCCAGAAUACAAGGGGUUGGACUUGGAGAACUACAGAAUGUAGCUGAGAAUCUUUGUUUUGCUGGUUUGUGUAUCUUAAUUCCAGAGGAUACCUUCCUUCACUGUUUGGACCUGAUUUAACCCAUCCGGAGGAGAUGGGACCUGCCGGUCAUUGAGCAAACCCCUAGUCGGGUCAGCUGCACCACAUGUUAAUUGCCUGGAGGUGACAUUAUUCAAGAGGAAAUAAUCAGUCAGUGAUCCAAAGAGAAAGCCUGUACUAGUCAUCAUAGCCUACCUAUAUUCCAUUUUCUGAACACCUGCCCCAAGUGUGAAGAAACUUUCAUUUUUCCUUCAGUAUUGGCCUUUUAAUAUUCUGUAUAACAGAAUGAAACCCUUAUUUCACUGGCAGAAAGGGAAAUGAACAAUAAGCGAAAUCUGGUGAAAAUACAAUUUGAGCUGUAAUAAUAUGGUGAGUAAUUUUAGAAACCAAAGACUGUUUUUUUGCUUUUCCCAUCAUCAUCUGUGGCAUAUUAUUCAAAUGUUCCUAUUUCAUAAAUAUUUUGGAAACCAUGUGGGUUUGGGAAUUCCUGAAUUGUUGGGCCACUGACAUCAAAAUAUCCACUAAUAGUUACAGCAUUUUUCAUUUCUAAUUAUAAAA